AUAUAUAUAUAGAGAGAGAGAUUUUCUGAAUCCUGAGCUUGAUGAAAUUAUGUUGUUCAGCUUCUUCAUUAUUGUCUGUUAUUGUAAUGGUGGUGAUUGGGAUUAUAUAUAUAUAUAUGUAUGAAAUAAUUAAACACAAAAAUUUGUAAAAUUACUAGGAAUCAACAUUAUUGUUUAUUGCUGAUGUUUUAGAUUAGAUUGGUGGUUCAGUCGCUCACUCAUC